AUUCAGGUUAUUUGUUGUGAAAGCUCCACAGGUUCAGAGAGGAAUGGUCUGCUUAAAGCUAUUUCAGCUGGGAGGCCCUGCUUUGCUGCUCAGACGUGUGUCUUCCUCCAGUCACAGCCUAUCUGCACCUGAGAGAUUUGGUCAUCAGCCAGUUCCCAUUUAAGCCGGAGGAAGGCAUUUAUUCAAUGCUGGAUUGUUGACUAAGCUAGAAUCCCAGGCUGAGUAAAUGUUCUCACUGAGUUGUGGACUUUUUUCUGGUGUUUCUUCUGACCAGGCCCGUGGCGAGGGUUGGAGCCUUCAGGACAUCCAGCUGUCUCAGAACCCAGUCGCAAAGAUUGUUGCUUUUCUGUGUGAUCAUGUGUGACUGUAAAUAAACACACUGUACUGAA